rnacentral:rRNA from 1 species
GACGAACGCUGGCGGCGUGCUUAACACAUGCAAGUCGAACGGUAAGGCUCCAGCUUGCUGGGGUACACGAGUGGCGAACGGGUGAGUAACACGUGGGUGACCUGCCCUGCACUUCGGGAUAAGCCUGGGAAACUGGGUCUAAUACCGGAUAGGACCGCACCGUGAGGGUGUGGUGGAAAGUUUUUUCGGUGUGGGAUGGGCCCGCGGCCUAUCAGCUUGUUGGUGGGGUAAUGGCCUACCAAGGCGGCGACGGGUAGCCGGCCUGAGAGGGUGGACGGCCACAUUGGGACUGAGACACGGCCCAGACUCCUACGGGAGGCAGCAGUGGGGAAUAUUGCACAAUGGGCGGAAGCCUGAUGCAGCGACGCCGCGUGGGGGAUGACGGCCUUCGGGUUGUAAACUCCUUUCACCAUCGACGAAGGGUUUCUGACGGUAGAUGGAGAAGAAGCACCGGCUAACUACGUGCCAGCAGCCGCGGUAAUACGUAGGGUGCGAGCGUUGUCCGGAAUUACUGGGCGUAAAGAGCUCGUAGGUGGUUUGUCGCGUCGUCUGUGAAAUUCCGGGGCUUAACUCCGGGCGUGCAGGCGAUACGGGCAUAACUUGAGUACUGUAGGGGAGACUGGAAUUCCUGGUGUAGCGGUGAAAUGCGCAGAUAUCAGGAGGAGCACCGGUGGCGAAGGCGGGUCUCUGGGCAGUAACUGACGCUGAGGAGCGAAAGCAUGGGGAGCGAACAGGAUUAGAUACCCUGGUAGUCCAUGCCGUAAACGGUGGGCGCUAGGUGUGGGUUUCCUUCCACGGGAUCCGUGCCGUAGCUAACGCAUUAAGCGCCCCGCCUGGGGAGUACGGCCGCAAGGCUAAAACUCAAAGGAAUUGACGGGGGCCCGCACAAGCGGCGGAGCAUGUGGAUUAAUUCGAUGCAACGCGAAGAACCUUACCUGGGCUUGACAUAUACAGGAUCGCGCCAGAGAUGGUGUUUCCCUUGUGGCUUGUAUACAGGUGGUGCAUGGUUGUCGUCAGCUCGUGUCGUGAGAUGUUGGGUUAAGUCCCGCAACGAGCGCAACCCUUGUCUUAUGUUGCCAGCACGUUGUGGUGGGGACUCGUAAGAAACUGCCGGGGUUAACUCGGAGGAAGGUGGGGAUGACGUCAAAUCAUCAUGCCCCUUAUGUCCAGGGCUUCACACAUGCUACAAUGGUCGGUACAGUGGGUUGCCAGUCCGUGAGGGCGAGCUAAUCCCGCAAAGCCGGUCUCAGUUCGGAUCGGGGUCUGCAACUCGACCCCGUGAAGUCGGAGUCGCUAGUGAUCGCAGAUCAGCAACGCUGCGGUGAAUACGCUCCCGGGCCU